GUUCCAGAAGACAGGGAAGAAGUCAACUCUGGCUGUCGGAGCAACCAGUCCAACACCUGCUGUGUUCAAUGUCACUAAGGGUCUAUCUGACAAGCAGUGGCAGUCCAUACAAGGGGAGAUGCCAGGCAAUAUGACAAGAGAGGACUUUAAUGAGACCUGCAACACCAUCCUAUCGUGGGUUAAAGAGGCCGUUGGGACUGCUGUGAAGCCUGCCCUGGACCUGACCUGGGAAAUCAUCACCACUAACGGAUCUUCAAUAUUGUCCACCCCCUCCAGCUGCUCACGAACAGAGGAAUGCUCAGUUGUGAUCUGUCCCUUUCCAUCAAGGUAUUUUGAACGUAAUAGUACUCUAUGGUCAGUGGUAAGAACUUUGACCUGUGUUAAUUGUCACA